rnacentral:rRNA from 1 species
CAGUCGCCACGGGAAUACAGAGGGUGCGAGCGUUAAUCGGAUUUACUGGGCGUAAAGCGUGCGUAGGCGGCUUUUUAAGUCGGAUGUGAAAUCCCUGAGCUUAACUUAGGAAUUGCAUUCGAUACUGGGAAGCUAGAGUAUGGGAGAGGAUGGUAGAAUUCCAGGUGUAGCGGUGAAAUGCGUAGAGACCUGGAGGAAUACCGAUGGCGAAGGCAGCCAUCUGGCCUAAUACUGACGCUGAGGUACGAAAGCAUGGGGAGCAAACAGGAUUAGAUACCCCCGUAGUCCCUGUCUCUUAUAC